rnacentral:rRNA from 1 species
AUUGAACGCUGGCGGCAUGCUCUACACAUGCAAGUCGAACGGUAACAGGCCGCAAGGUGCUGACGAGUGGCGAACGGGUGAGUAAUGCAUCGGAACGUGCCCAGUCGUGGGGGAUAACUACUCGAAAGAGUAGCUAAUACCGCAUACGAUCUAUGGAUGAAAGCGGGGGACCGUAAGGCCUCGCGCGAUUGGAGCGGCCGAUGUCAGAUUAGGUAGUUGGUGGGGUAAAGGCUCACCAAGCCAACGAUCUGUAGCUGGUCUGAGAGGACGACCAGCCACACUGGGACUGAGACACGGCCCAGACUCCUACGGGAGGCGGCAGUGGGGAAUUUUGGACAAUGGGCGCAAGCCUGAUCCAGCAAUGCCGCGUGCAGGAAGAAGGCCUUCGGGUUGUAAACUGCUUUUGUACGGAACGAAACGGCUCUGGUUAAUACCCGGGGCUAAUGACGGUACCGUAAGAAUAAGCACCGGCUAACUACGUG